rnacentral:rRNA from 1 species
CCUACGGGUGACAGCAGUGGGGAAUAUUGGGCAAUGGGCGCAAGCCUGACCCAGCAACGCCGCGUGAAGGAAGAAGGCUUUCGGGUUGUAAACUUCUUUUGACAGGGAAGAGUAGAAGACGGUACCUGUCGAAUAAGCCACGGCUAACUACGUGCCAGCAGCCGCGGUAAUACGUAGGUGGCAAGCGUUGUCCGGAUUUCCUGGGUGUAAAGGGCGUGUAGCCGGGUUGACAAGGCAGAUGUGAAAUCCUGCGGCUUAACCGCAGAACUGCAUUUGAAACUGUUGAUCUUGAGUACUGGAGAGGCAGACGGAAUUCCUAGUGUAGCGGUGAAAUGCGUAGAUAUUAGGAAGAACACCAGUGGCGAAGGCAGUCUGCUGGACAGCAACUGACGGUGAGGCACGAAAGCGUGGGGAGCAAACAGGAUUAGAUACCCCAGUAGUC